GACGAACGCUGGCGGCGUGCUUAACACAUGCAAGUCGAACGGUGAAGCUCCAGCUUGCUGGAGUGGAUCAGUGGCGAACGGGUGCGUAACACGUGAGCAACCUGCCCCUGACUCUGGAAUAAGCGCUGGAAACGGCGUCUAAUACUGGAUACGAGAAGGGCUCGCAUUGGCACUUUCUGGACAUUUUUUCGGUUGGGGAUGGGCUCGCGGCCUAUCAGCUUGCUGGUGAGGUAAUGGCUCACCAAGGCGACGACGGGUAGCCGGCCUGAGAGGGCGACCGGCCACACUGGGACUGAGAGACGGACCAGACUCCUACGGGAGGCAGCAGUGGGGAAUAUUGCACAAUGGGCGAAAGCCUGAUGCAGCGACGCCGCGUGAGGGAUGACGGCCUUCGGGUUGUAAACCUCUUUCAGCAGGGAAGAAGCGAAAGUGACGGUACCUGCAGAAGAAGCACCGGCUAACUACGUG
rnacentral:rRNA from 1 species